GCUGGGCACAGUGGCGCAUGCCAGUAGUCCCAGCUACUCGGGAGGCUCAGGUGGUAGGAUCACUUGAGCCCAGGAGUUCUGGGCUGUAGUGCGCUAUGCGGAUCGGGUGUCUGCACUAAGUUCGGCAUCAAUAUGUUGAGCUCCCUGGAGCAGGGGAUCACCAGGCUGCCUACAGAGGGGUGAACCGGCCCAGGUCCGAAACGAGCAAAUCAAAACUCCCGAUGCUGAUCAGUAGUGGGAUUGCACCUGUGAAUAGCCACUGCACUCCAGCCUGGGCAACAUGGCGAGACCCUGUCUCU
rnacentral:SRP_RNA from 1 species